rnacentral:lncRNA from 1 species
AAAGGAAAGGAAAAGAACUUUAUUGAAAAGCAAUUGUCACUUAUUGUAUUCCAAGUAAAGAUGAAUAUUUAGUGAUGGCUAGCUACUCUAUUUAUAGUACACAAUUGACUUAAAAUCUAAGCAAGUAUAUUCCUAGAAUAUUUCUCGGUAGAUUGUGCGCCAAAAUAGAAUAGCUUGGAGUCAAAGCAAAAGCAGCAAAAGGCAUCUGGAGGGUGGCACGGCCGUGCCAAGGCUAGCACGGGCCGUGCCAAGCUUCUGACUUGUGGGAGAUAUAUUUUGUUUCCCAAUCUUCAUAUUUUUGUGUCCAAUCUGCUCCAAAUCCCUUUCUUUUGCUCCAAG